UGUCUACAGGAGCUGUGUCCUGCUGG
rnacentral:piRNA from 2 species